GGUCACAGGGACACUCACCCGCAUGGCCUGGCCUGGAGCAACCCAGAGCAAGGAGUCUCCUCUCCGAUGCUGCUCCGUUAGUGGCUCAAAAUAGCACUGGCUUCAGCCCCGCCCCUGGUCCCCUCCCUCUCCCCAGGCCCCUCCUGCUGGCAGCCUGAGCUGCCCAACCCUGGCCAGAGCCAGUCCCAGACAGUGAGUGGCCUCCAGGACUGCGGAUACCAGAUGAAAAUGAGGGCCCAUCAUCCCCAUUGUGAUGACUUUGGACUUCCCAGCUUGGCUCCAGGCCAAGUAUGCCCCUCGCCAUACUCAACAGGCACCAGCCCUGUCCUAGGCGCUGCAGCCAACCUCGCUCCAUGCCCGUGUUGGUAAGACCAGAUGCCCUCUGUGUCCGGAUUAUCUGCUUUUUCAUUCUUUUGUCCCCAUCAGCUGUCACUCCACCUGUCAGCAUGCCUGUCCCCAACAGUCUCACUUCCUUCUAAUGAGCAGUUUCUGCCAAAGGCUAGAGAACCAGAUAACCGAGCCUGAUAUAACAAAGUCCAGAGCAGAGCAAGUGGAAUACCAGAGAGCUACUCUCCUGUGAGUAAAGGGCCUGGGUUUUCCCCCCAAGACUUGCUGCCCUCUAUUUUGGUCACCUGAGGAUCUUCUAGGCCCUCCUUCCAUUCAGCAGUGCUCUGGAAGAUGACCAGGGACUGGUAUGUCAUCCCAGGGAGAUCGUCUGGCCCUUUGGGGGCAUGUGCUGUGUCAGAGCUCUUCACAUCCCCAGGGCUUUCUCGACACGCUGGUGCCAAGAAAAGUUACUGGUGCACCCCUUAUGGGUGACCGAGGUGUCACUUUACUUUCAGAAGCUUGUUCUGAAUUAUUAGUAACCAUGUGUCAAUCUACUCUUUUAUAUUCAGACAACUAGAUCCUGGUCAUUCUGUCUCUGAGUUGACUUGUGUUACUGAUGGAGAUCAUCUCAAAGCACUUUCUUCCCUCCGUGACAAGGGCAGACCUCUUCAUUCAGAGAAGAAACCUGAGACCUGACAACCCACUCAGUGUCACACAAAGCCACCACCAGUACCCCUCCUGCCCAAAGGCUCUGGGAUUGAGACCCACAUCGGGCUCCUUGUGGGGAGCCUGCUUUUCCUCUGCCUGUGUCUCUACCUCUCUCCCUCAUGAACAAAUAAAACCUUAAAAAAAAAAAAAAGAAAGAAAUGCCUCUCUCCCUUGCCCAACUUUCCCAUCUGUCAAGGUCGACAAGUGUCACCUCCCUCAUGCAGUCUUCCCCAGACCCCAAGGCCUGCACAGAGGCAUACUGCAAAGAGCACACCUUCGCAGUCAGGCACCCCAGUCCUGGAUCUCAGCUCUGCGUCUAUCUUGCUGCCUGACCUAAGGGAAAGUUACUCAGCUUCUUAGGGUGUCCACUUUUUUUGCCUUAUAAUACCUAUUACUACCUUCUGGGUUGUUGUGAGAAUUUAAAAAAGACAGUAUAUGUAAAGUACCUGGCAUUAGGCCUGGCAAAUUGUAGGUAGUGAUUAAAUUAUUAUCAAAAACCACAGUCCUGGGCAGUCCCGAUGGCCCAGCAGUUUGGCGCCGCCUUCAGCCUGGGGUAUGAUCCUGGAGACCCGGGAUCAAGUCCCACGUCGGGCUCCCUGCAUAGAGCCUGCUUCUCCCUCUGCCUGUGUC